GGGGAUUUGGUAAGGUCUCGAUCCCCCUUAAAAUGAAAAGUUUUCUAUUUAGGUCUUUUAAAAUUUUAAAUUAAUAAAGGUAAAAUUAUACCUUGGUCUCCCUAAAAAUGAUAAAAAUUUGUUAAUCUUUUAAAAUUUAUAAAAAUAUAGGCUAUUCAAAUAGUGAAAUUUUAUUUUUAUUAUCGUAAAAAUUACAAUUUAAUUUCAAUCCCUUAAAGAAAAUUUCUACAUUUGCCCCUGAUAUGUACCAAUAAUUGUUUGGUGCAUUAAUAAGACACAUUAUACUUCCGAGUAAAGAACUUACGUUUGAACCCCUAGAGAUGACAUUAUUUUGAGAAGUAAUUGUGAACCUUAAAAAUAUUAGACUUCAAUGGCAUAUAUAUUUACAAUAAUAAAACACAUGACCGAGUUGAUGUCACCCUUCAACUAAUUCUUAUCUCAAUUGAAAAAUUACCAAAAAUUCUUUUCCUUUUACAAAAUAAUUUAUAUUGUUCCAAAGAUUUUUUUCUAUUUUUUAUUUUUUUUAGAUUAAUAAAAAUUUAAGUAAUGAUGAUAUUAAACUUUUAACUCCAUUUCAAUUAAAACAUUAUUUGAAUUCUCUAUAAAUGUUUAAUAAAUAUAUUUGUUGCUAUUAACAUUAUCUAGUAUAUAUAAUAUGCCGGUAAACAUUUAGUAAAUGAAUGUCAAUUCCAUCAUAGGCACAUAGUGAGUUUCAGUACAAAAUUGAAGUAGAUACCGUUCCAAUCAAAACCCAUGUUAUCCAUAUUAAAUUUAAUUUCCAAUAAGGAUAAGUAUUUGAUACAAUACAUUCCCUUUUCAUAUAUUUGAAUAAUUGUACCUCUAAUUAUGAAAUCAAUCCUUUUAUUUUAUGAAAACAGAAAAAAUUUAUUUUUCUACUUUAAUUAAUUUACUAUAAUUUGAUCAUCAUACUUCAUGAAAACUGAAAAAUUAGUUUAAUUAGAUAAUAGAGUUGAACUUUGCCGUUAAAUUGUUGAAAAUAAACAAUUUAGUAAUUUCUACGCAAAGAAAUAACAAAAAAAACAUUUUAGCAAAUUCUAUAUAACAAAUUAACAAAAAUCAGUAAUUAAGUUCAUGCAUUUACUAACAAUUAAACUAAUUUUCUAAUAAAAGACUUAAAUUUUAUAAAAGGAUGAAACUCAAAAUUAAAUCAAUGAUCGUACCAUCACACAUUCAUACUCACCUCCAAAUACUUUAAAGAAAAAAAAUUAAUAAUAUAAACCAGUGUUACUUCAUAAAAUUUAACAAGCCAAAUAUUCCGAGGAGACGCUCAAAAGGUGUUUUAGACAGAAUUUCACAUCCCUUUUUCAUCCAUUAAAAGACAUUCGGAAAUAAAGUUUUCUUUUAACUCCACAAGUGAAAUUAAAACUGUUAUGUGCCCUAAACCUCACUUUUGAAGUUAAAAAGCUCCAUCACCAAUAUAUCAAUUAAUACUCCUUAAAAGACUAAAAGCAUUAGAAUAAAAGAUGACUUUACAUUACCAAUAAUUACAUAUUACACAAUACACAUGCCUAGAAGAAGUUCCUUCUUCUGACUAUAUGGUAGUUAAUGGAAUAAUUGAAAAUUUUUCAAUAUAUUCCUAUGAAUAAACUAAGUGCUCAUUUUACACAUUGCAGGAUGCCACAGGAUUGAAUGAAACAUGAUGAUAUUCAAAGAAUUGAAAAAUAGAACAUGAAUAAUCAUACCGUAUUUUAAUUCAAUGUCGCACAACUGUUGAACUGGAAGAUAUCAUCUCCACUAUCUGCUGAUGGAUUUUGCCAUUAGUCACAAGAACCCCACCAGCAGGGCAUAUGAUUCUCCGUUUAAAUUGAUCUGCUGCAAGAUCAAGUUCACUUCCUUUCCAAUCCGUCACCUGAAUUAACGAUGUCAAUUUAUUGUACUAUCGUUAGCAAAUCAAUUAAUGAUAUAACAAUCUUAUCGAAUUUGGAAGUAAAAAUUUGGAACAGUGAUGCGGCCAGUAUGACAGGACAAAUAAAGAAGUGGUCUGUAAACAAAACAAGGAUAUCAAGCUCAAUGUCUUUUAUUCGUAAGAUUUAAUAUGUCCUACGGAUGUCAGUUUUUGUUUUUUCGUCUUAGUGUUAUUGGCUCGGCGUGGAACAAGCAAUGAGGAAGCUACGGAAAAUGUCUUGCACAAUGACCACUACCAGACAAAUCUCAUCUGAUGACAAUAUUCUAUUACUAAUGAGGUGUCACAUGUACCUUUCCUCCAGCUUCAUGAACACAUAUCAUACCAGCAGCAUGAUCCCAAGCCUAAAUUGUAAAGGAGAAUAUAAGUAAUUAUAUUGCUACAGAGUUUUUGUGCUCAAUAAACUAUUAAUAAAGAUUAUACCUUGGUCACUCUUUCAGGUUUAACUUCAAGAAUGAAAACAGAUGCCCCACCAGAAGCCACCAUUAAGUACUUGCAUAAACUGCAAACAAACAGAGACGUAUGUCAUGAACAUGUCAUUGAUACAUUACUGUAAAACUCUCACACAAGAAAAGAAAAAAUAUAACAGAAAAAAGAAUUGUGCUUUAGAUACCAUGCAAUUCGGUGAAAGCUCCAUCGAGAAUCACACAAGUAGAAAAACAUUGUGAUAGAAAGCCAACAAACCUUCCACAACAAAAGGGUAAAAGACGAAUUUCCUUAUCCCCGAUAUCAUCAUUGUCAUUGGUUGUUGCGUCGUAGAAAACUGACAGUGGCAGUGACUCCCAUGCUUGACUAUCUGGAAUGCAGAAGUUGGCUUUGUGUACCAAAGAACAACCAUCAACAAAACAUCUGGUCCAAUCGGAUGAAGGUCUGAACGAGCUAUCAAACAUGUGCCUUAACCUCUUUGUCCAAGUUCCACAGCCAACAUGAGCAACCAUAAUGAUCCCCAACCCAGGUGAACUGUUUUUAUAACCUUGAACGUCGGUAAUGGACCUGUGGAAAGUAUCUACAACCCAGUUAGGGCAGCCCAUGACUCCUAACAUGAUCUCUCCUUCAACUACAAGAGACAAACCUACCUGAAAAUUCAGAAUAUGCCCUCAGCCAUGAAGGUGAAAAAGAAAGAUUAUGCUUAACUGAUAGCAAAAGAUCACUAAAAGAAAAAACUUCAGUUAACAACAGCAACAACAAAGUUUACACCAACCACAAUCCUAAAACUUGUAAAUGUCAGUUUUUUUUUAAAAUGAAACUAAACCAGAAAUGUAAAUUAUGACAAUAACUAUUUCUUUUAGAAUUUUCAAGCAUGCAUAUUAUCAUAUGUUUUAUUUGAAUGUAAUGCAUCAUUCAUGCAGAAUAGAAUAUUGUUGAUUAUCUUGAAUCCUGUACAAUAUCAGUAAAUUUUGUUAAAUAAUGCAGGCCAAUAAGUCAAUAACAAUACACAAGUUUUGACUAAGUUUAAAUUAUGUUUCAUGGCAUGAAGAAAAUGUUUCAAAUGAAAAGAAUUAAUUGAACCAAGGCAUACAUACCACAUAUAAGGCUUUGCUUCCUUUUACAAACCCUCGUGUGCCAUCAAUUGGAUCCAGUAUCUGCAUCAGGUUUGUGGACGUAAAAAUGUCAAAAAGUACAUAUCCAGUACCUGGAAACUCUUUUAUUUAUAAUCAGCAAAAGUCAAAACUGCAGUUUAUGGACAAGCUUAAGUAGACUGUAUAGGCUUUACCCAAUACGUGGCUGGUUUUGUUCCGAAUUCAGUCCUAUCCCCUCGAUCGAUUGCUUCCAGCACAUCAGCAUGUAAAAAUGAUUCCUCAUGAAAGCUUGUUUUAUUAGAAACUGCACUUACUACAGGAUCCACGAGAUUUUGGGACUGUAAAAAACCAGAGUCCUCUUCCGCCACCAAUGGAAUUGAAGGGAACAAUUUACCCAACUCUAUCAUAGAAUCAACAGAAGCAAAUUUUCAAUUAUCUCAUUAGUUAAACUUUCUUACUUGUUAAUCAAACAAUAAGCACCCUGAUUUUUCAAUUGUCAUCAUAAAUCAUAUAUUCUCGCAUGAAAAUAAUAAUAAAACUGUAAAAACUACUCUAAAGGAGAAUGUCACAAUUAUGAAACAUUAUGCCAAACUCUAUUUCAAACUCCAUUUUCUUAAUUCUAUUCUAAGUAACAUGCAAUAUGUUCAAUUAAGCAAACAAAAACAUAGAGGCAUUAACGGAAACACCUAAACUAACAAGAGCCUGGACUCCAAAAUCUGCCACUGUAACUGGAGUUUGGUCAUUCUUUUCCAGUAUCCGCCCAUCAGAUAAUGGAGACCUUUGUACCUACAAUCACAAAAAGUAAAAAACUCAAUUUUAAUAAAUAAAAUUACAAAAGUGAGAAAAAUGCAUUAGAACAGAGCAAUUUAAUCAAACAAUGGCUAAAGAACAAGAGUCGAGAUUUUCAAAAAGGCUAAUUACAUCACGCAGAUUCCAUAUUCCAAUUCUAAUUAUAUACUCAAAACUACCGUUACUGUAUCAAUCUAGUCAUCAAUUUAGCCAUAAAAUGUCAGCUUGAAUCGGAAGUAAAAUAUAUUUAAAAUACGUAAACAAAAUUAAAAACAAGAUCACAAAAGCAACUUAAAUUAACAGUGUUAAAAAAGAUAGGUAAUAUAAAUAAAAUUAAGAAUAUUAUUUUCUUUUUAACACGUCAAACUCAAGUUGCUUAUUGUAAAUCUGAGCUGCAUUUAAAGUUGACUAGGCCGACGUAAAUUUGAACUGUCAUUUAACUCUCAAACUAAUAGCUCCUCCAAUGUAUUCAAAUGAUGGAUAUAAUACUAACACUUUAAGAUAUCAAUUUAAAAUCUGAUAAUAAUUUUAAGAUAUCUGCUACGAUUAACCUUCUUCAAAUUUUUAACUUACGUCAAUGCAAAGGCUACAAGCUCUCUCCACGAGCUCCACCGCAGCUUCAAGUUCUAUGUGGUACUUAGCUUUCUCUUUUGCGAAAGGAAGAAUCGAGCUGAAAUAUUUUGCGAAAUGCAGAAAAAUAAAUAACUAAUAGGAAAUUAAAGAAGUAAAACUUUUAGAAAGCUUCAUAGUUUGGAUAGAAGUGAGAGACCUAACUGUGACGAAACGACUGCGGAAAGGUGCAGGGGAAGGGUAGCGGCGGAAGAAUCGGACUCCGGGAGGAGGCCGGAGGAGAUGAAGAUCCAUGGCGGGAAUCAUGGGAGUUGUUGAAAGGCGGAGAAAUAGUGAUUUGUUGGUGAGUAUUGAGUGGAAAGGAAAAAUUGGUUUGCUGUUGCUGAGGUGUAGCAACAAGGAAUGCGAAGCGUGUAGGGGAGGGUUGGGGGAGGGCUUGAAACGGUCCCUUGUGAUAUUGGACUGGGCUAUUAGAUUUUCUUCCGUUUUAGGUUUCUCCUAAUUUAUUUAUUUUGGAAUCGCUAAUGGGGUUGUAGUAGGCCUAGUCAGCAUUCUAUCGAAUCAAAUGAAUUUUUUUAGGUAAUCGAGUUGAUAAAUUUUAUUUUAUCUUUUUAAAUUGAUUUAAAAUUUUUUUGAAUUAAGUGAGAUGUAAUUCGAAUAGAAUUGAAUAUAUUUGUUCGAGUUAAAUUAAAAAAAAUGAGUUUGGGUACUUGUAGCUACUAUCAUUUACUAUAAUCAAAUUUACCCACCGUAAUCAAAUUUGUUAUUAACUUUCAUCCCCUCAUAAUUUAUUUAUUAUUUUUUAUAUACGAUUUAGCUUAUUUGCUUGCUUAGUUGUUUCAAUUAUAUUCUAAUUCUUGUCACAAUGUAUUUUGAAAUUAAGGGUCUGUUUGAUUGACGGAAUUGAUUUUCCGGAAAAUUAUUUCCAACUUUUCCAGCGUUUGAUUGGCGGAAAACAUUUUCCAUUUGGAAAAUGAACUCCAAAACAAGGGAAAAUGGGUUACAUUUUAGGGAAAAUGUCUUACCCUUUCAAUUUCCGUAAGACAUUUUCCGUGCUCUCCUCUCUAUCGCCUCCUUCAUUCCUUCAUUCAUUUCCGGUAGAAAACUGCUUCUGUUUAUCGAUUUUCCAGUAACUUAUUUUUUUAAUUAUUCAAUACUUAUUUUUUUAACACAAUUACAAAUAAUUUAUUUGAUAUUAGUUUUUUUCAAUUUAUAACGAUUAAUAUUGUAGCUUAAUAAUUGAGUAUUAUUAUAAACAAAUCAUUGCAAUAUAAGUAAAAAUAAUUUAAAAUAUAAAAAUUAUUAAUAUAUAUUAAUAUAUGUAAAAACAACUUUUCCGAAAAAUAUUUUCAAAAAAUCUGCCAAGCAUCAGAAAAUAUUUUACACAGAUUCAAUCAAACACUAGAAAAUAUUUUCCAGUAAAUCAUUUUACAGAAAAGUAAAACAUUUUCCAGAAAUCAUUUUACGGAAAAUAUUUUACUGGCAAUCAAACAGACCCUAAAAAAUAUAUUAAAUGUAAAAAAAUGUGAUUUUUUAAUAAAAUUUAUUUUAAAGAUAAAAUGUGAAAUUAAUAUCAUCAUAAAAUUUUAAUACGAGUAUUUUAUGACAUCAUCAAUAAUUCAAUUUUAACAUAAAUUGAUAAAGAUUCAGAUGAUUAAAAAUAUAAAUAGUACAAAAUGUGAAAUUUAAUUCAAUAAUAUAAAUAAUAGACAUAAAUUUGAGAAAAAAAAGUUUCUUUUUUUUUGAGGGGGGGAAGUGAAAUGUUUGAGGGGAAGUAAAAGUUUUGGGAGAAAAAUAAAAGGAAAUUUUUUUUAGGGUUUGGGAGCAAGUAAAUUUUUUGGGGGGAAAGUAAAAGGACUAGGGGGGAGGAGAAGGGAAAUAAAAGAGAUUGGUAUUUGGUUUAUUCGAGUUAUUCAAAUUUGAAAUUUUAACUCGAAAUUUGAAAAAAAAUUUGAGUUGUUUCGAUUCACUCAAAGAAUUCUAUUCUAAUAAUUCGAAAUUUGAGUUUUUUUUCGAUUUUUUUUUGAGUUGGAUUGAAUUUCGCUCACCUCUAGGUUGGAUUGAAGGUCAUUGUAUUAAGAGCAAAUUGCAUUUAGUCUGCUUUUACUAAAAAAUGGACAAAUUAGUUAUAUCAAAGAACAAAUUGCAUUUAACAAAUUGUACGAUAUAUCAAAUAGCAAACUGAUCAUUUUUGUUAAAAAUUUAUUCAUUUCUACUGUUAAAAACUGACAUUGUUGAUAGAAUAAUCAGACAAUUCAUGUGGCAUGCCACAUAUACCUCAUUUUAACAUAUAAUGAGUAAUUUUUAACAAGAGAAAUAGAUGAAAUUUUUAAUAAAAUGACCAGUUCACUCUUUGAUCUAAUGUACAAAAACUAAUUUGUCCAUUUUUUAAGUAGAGGAGGCAAAAUACAAUCUAACUCUUAGUAUAAUGGCCUCCAUGAUACUUUUACCCCAUUGGACAAUGCUUUCCAAUUGAUUUCACAAUGGUCAAGAGCAAAGCUGGAAAAUUGUUUUAUGUGAAUAAAAAAUAGUGAGAGGAUUAAUAUGUAAUUUUAUUAUUAUACUAACUUGUAAUUUUUUAAAAAUUAAAAGGAUUAUAUAGAAAAUUUUCUAUUUUAAGGAGUAAGGUUACAUCCUGCCCCUUUCCCUCCACCCAUGACUAAAGGUAAAUCUAAAAAGGCAAUAAGGGCUUUGGCCUCGAGUUUUUAUUUUUUCAAUUGAGUUAUUUUAUAAACAAAGAAACUAUAAAUUAAUAUAUAAUAAAACUACAGUUUGGUGUAUCAAAAUGAAAAAUUUUCAAUUCAAUCCCCUUGUAAAUAAAGAAAUUAUAAAAUAAUAUAUAUUGCACUUUAACUAGACCUGCUCAUGGGUUGGGCCACCUGGCCCGGCCCGAAGGUUUGCCAAAAAUGUGGGAGAGUUUGGGUAAAAAUAUAGACCAGUUUUAAAAAAAUAGGUUGGGCCUCAGGUAAGGCAUUUUCAGUCCCGGCCCGAAUUCACUAAAUGACAAAAAAUUAUUUUUUUUGUUUUUUAAUAUUAUUUUCUUAUUGUUUUCUCACUAUUUUGCUACCAUUUUACUGUUAUGUUGCUACUAUUUUGUUGUUAUUGUUUGGAUAUUGUAUAAAACUUAUUUUAUUGUUAAUUUUGUUAUUAUUUUAAAGACAUCUGCUUAAUUUUAUUAUUAUUUUAGAGGCGGCAUUUGCUUGUUAAGUUACACCUAUUUUAGUGUUAUUUAAGUAUACAUAUUUUUUAAAAUUUAUUUUCAAUUUGUUGGAAAAUAUUUAUUUUGAUGUUUUUAGUAUUUUUUAUGUAUUAUAUGUUUUUUAAAUUUAUAUAAAGAAUAAUAUAAAAAUUAAUAUGGGCGGGUCGAGUCGGGCUUGAGUUUUAACAUUUUAUCUGGGUCGAGUUUAGAAAAAAUUUUAGGCCCAUUUUUUGGGCCGAACAAGGCUCGGGCCUAAAUUUUUAGUUGAGCCCGGCCCGACCCAUGCAUGCCACUAACUUUAACCCCUUAAAAAUAAAAAAAAUAUAUUUAAUCUUUUCAAAAAUAAUAAAAUUAUAAAUUAAUACAAAAUACACUUACAUAUUAAUCAAUAAAAAAAUUAUAAUUACAUUUCGGAUCUCUUAAAAAAAAUUUAGAUUCCCCUACCAUGACGCUGGUUGAUGCCUAUAUCUUAUGUUUUGUUUAAAUUUUUAUUGGGAACAGUAAGAGUAUAUGUGAAAGAGUGAAAGGGAAAGUGGCAGAUAUGGUAAUUCUGAAGAAAUAUAGAGUCCGGUUUGGUCCUGGAAACUUUCCAAAUGGUGCACAGAGAGGAAAGCUUGACAGUUUUUAUCGAAAAAAGCUAUUUGUUUUUUGAGUUUUUUCUAUUAAUUAGCUUUUAAUAAGUGAAAUAUUUAUAAACGUCUCUUUUAGCUGUUUUUUGGGGAUUUUUUUUUUUGUAAAUUUUCCCUUUUUUGCAUUCAUUUGAAUGUCUUUGAUCAUUCCUCUAGCUAAUUUGCAGCAGAAAAUAUACCAAUUUCAUGUUUUUUUGUUUUUUCUUACCAUAUGUUGCAGAACAGUAAUAUUGCAGAUUUCUUUCUUAAGUGCAAGACACAAAUCUAAAAUCGAGCUAAACCGAAUCUCGAAAUAACAAUAAAGUUCUCUCACUGCUUAUUCAAACCCGAAAUUCUUAUCAUUCAACUCAACAAGCAUUAGAAUGCUGCUGCAGAUUAAACUAUUUUUUCAUGAAUUCUACAGAACAUAUAUGAUAAAAUAGUGAUGCAAUAUCAAUGCAAAUUUUGUGGAACCCUUGAAAAACUCAUCCUUUUUCUUGCUAUACUGAAUUGACCAUUGCAGGUCCCAUUUUCUCUCUGGUUCCAACGCUACCUUUUAAACACAAAAAUUAUUGGCAUUGAGGGGUUAACCAUCAAAGCUGCAAUACAAAUACAAAGUCACAAAAUAUUGCAGAAAAAAAGGGUGUUUUUUUGUUGUGGAAAGAGCAAAAAGAAACAUCGUUAAAUGCAGUGUUGAUGAACUUAUCAAAACAGAAAAAAAGCUCAUCAACGCUGCACUCAACAAUGUUUCUUCAAUCUGAGAUAAUAUAUGUAAAUGCUUAACUUAAUUCAACCGAUCAACAUGCAUAUACAUAUAUAUAUGUUACGUUGGGGAAAUAUUUAAGUCACCUUUCAAUUUGUCUGCAGCUCUUUGAAUGAAGUUUGCUUGGAGUAGUUGUACUAAUUUUCUUUUUGUUUUCUUGGAUUGGAAUCUUUACCACAUUUAACACCAACAAUGCAACUAUCGAAUUCAUUUGUAUGGUUUGCCAUAACUUUCUCUAGAGAUAGUAUAGUAUGUAAAAAAAAAAUUGUAUAAAUGGUUGGCUCUUUUUCACAAUUGCAAGCAACUAUUUUUCCAUAUACCAACUCUAAGUUAAGGCCUAAGGGUCUCUUGGUGUCGCAGCUGUUCUGCAAUAGUGUUAGUGGUUUUUUUUUGGGGGGUCUAUUCUAUAAUUCACGGAAAUUAAUUCUUUCCGAAUUUGUGGCUAUCCCUAUUAAGAAUAUCAUCUCUAAAGAUACUAAUCCUUUAUCAUGUAACGUGUUAACAAAAUUAGCUCCUAAGCUAUUCUACUUUUUCUCGUUUAGGUACUUAUAUUUUGUCCGAAGUGAUACCUAUGUCAUCAAUUCCAUUUUAUUUUACCCAAAAAAGUAUAAAAUGUCUAAUAAGAGCAUAUUAUGUGUUUCAUUAUUAUCGGAUUGUAUUAUGUUUUGGAGAUAAAAUGAGAUAAAAUUUAUAAUUUAUAUAUUAUUUUUUAUAAAAAUAAAACUUUAAAUAUAUCUAUAUAGAAAACAUGAAUUGAUAAGAUAGGAGAAAAUAUAGCAAUUAUAAUAUCUUCAAAGAUUUCACCAUGUAAAAGUAAAGAAGGGAUUGUAUGAAACAGUAAUAUUAUCACUUUUUCAAUAAUUUAAUGUCACAUCAAUCAGUAAUUUCAUCGUGAAUGUUUGAAUUUUUAUUUGGAUUUGAUUUUUUUCAGGAUAAAAAUAUUAAUAUGGCAUUAAACUAUUGGAAAAGAGAUAGAGAUGAUGUGGCGUCACUAUUUCAUACAAUAUUUUUCCUGUAAAGAUAUAUCAAAUCCCACAUAUUAUAAGCUACCAUACUGAUUUGGGUUGAGCUUUUAAGUAAGAAAUUUAAGAGAAAAACGUAUCAUCGUUCAUGAAUCGACUCAACUCAGCUCAUUUUGAACUAGGUUUAAGUUUAUCUUUUUAACCUCGAGCUGGUUUUUAUUCAUUUCAAUGAAAAAGACCAUUUAAGUGGGCUAGACUAAGCCCGUAAGGAAGUAUAACAACUAUAAUAUCAUAAAAGGAUUUCAUCAUGUAAAGAUAUAUCAAUUUUCCCAAAAAAAAAUAAAAAGGCUCAAUCUAUUAUCUAAUUCAUGAAUAGAUCUAAAGAGGAGUCUUAGUGGGUAUGAUUUGGAUAUUAUAAAUUUCAGUUUCCAUGUACAGUUCCAUGGAGAAAUCCAUGCCCAUUACAAUUGGUUCUCUUUAUGCAUGUUUAAAUUGAAGCAUUCCAUAAAUGAAUUAAGCACCAUACAUGCAAAUAGAAGCCCAACGGGCUUAACAAAUUACAGUGACGACCUGGCUGGGAUGUAACGUACGAAGUUAGAAUUUUUAUAUUAGGGGUCAAAAUUGAAUUAUAAUUUUAUCAUGACUUAAGGUUAUGCAAUUUGGUUGAGUUUUGGAAUUUAAAAAAUAAUGUUGGAUUAAGUUUGAGUAUCAUGUCUUAGAUUUAGAGUUGAGUUUGAGCUCUUGUUUGUUAUUAUUCGGGUUUGACUUGGCUCAAUUACAUUCCUAUAAUUAAUGAUGUAAUUAAAAAAAUUUUGACUGAAAAUAAAUUAUAAAUUUAAUGAGAGUUAAAAUACAAUUUCAUCAUUGUACUUGUCGAAACCAUCCUUUUUUUUUAAAUUUUAAAUCUAAUGAAAAAACGGGGAGGAAUCGACUUUUGAAAAUAAAACAUGGAGUCGCCACCGAUCUUUCUGUUUUAGUGUGAUCGGGUCACCUAAGAAUUUGGCUAUUUUAAUAAAACAUUUCUGGUUUACUAAAACAACAAUUUUGGUCUACGAACUUUUGAGAAAACGGGUUUGGGAGUCGGUUACGCAUGAGGAAGGAUUAGCAUCCUCACUACGCCCAAACUUGGUACAAAAUCAAUUAAAUAAUGUCCUUAUGUCUAAGAUUUAAAAAUGUUUUUGAAAUGUGGUUCCCUUUUGAUAAUAUUUGAAUAACCCGAGUUGGUCAUCAAAAUUCUCUUGCUUAAGAGGAAUAUAGCACCACAUCCAGCACAAUAGGACAUGAUCCUUUAUGCCCUCGAAAACAUGACAAAUUUUGACUUCCAAAAAUUUAUAUGUUGAAAACCGCAAAAGGAUGCCCAAUUAUUUAGUCCAACGAGAAAAUCGAAACCAAGCACAGUAGGGCACGACUCCUCAAAUUUCUAGGUGUUAGACAUUGCCUUAUUUUAUAAUUUAAAGAGUAUGAGUGAAAUUCUAAAGGAAUCUUCGAUCAUUUUGGACAAACAGGAAAUCGUAACCCAGCACGAUAAGGCACGAUUCCCCGAAUUGCCAAACAUCGAAUAUUACCUUCGUUUUGAAGAGUUUUUAGAAAACAUGAAUGAAGUUCCAAAGGGACAUUCGAUUAUUUUGAGCAAACGAGAAAUUGCAACCCAACACGUUAGAGCACGAUUUCGCGAAUUGCCAAAUAUCGAACAUCACAUUCGUUUUAAAGGAUUUUUUAGAAAACAUGAAUGGUUAUAAAACUAGCUUAAAGUACGUUAAUUCGACUCGAAAUAAGACGAAACUAAUCAUAAAAAUUUGGAUUUUAUAAAACCACAUUUCGUAGACCAAGUGGAAAACAAUGAUAUGGGAUAAUAUAUGUAUGCAUAAAAGUACGACAAUGGAAGAAUGAAGAUAAUACGAUUUAUUUAAUCAACUAACAGUCACUUAAACAAUUAAAUAUAACUAACUUGGAAAUAUAACUCAAUUUCGAUCAUGCAUGGAGAAUAAUUAACAUGACAAUAUAAAACAAUGAAUACAUAACAUGCAACGACAACAUACAUGGCAUAAUAUAAAAUGAUUACUACUAGAUGCAAAAAAACAAAAUGCAAAUCGAAGAAGCAAUAUGGUAUAAAACUAUUUUAGAAUAAUGAUAAGUACACGAUACACACUAUAUGAAUUGAGGGAUUGAUGAAUAAAAAAACAUUUGUAAAGACAAGCUUAAUAUACACAUGCAAUCAUUAAAAUAUAUAUUAUAGAAUGAAUAUUUUUAAAACAUAUAAUAUAUAAAUUGACGAAAUUGCGUAGAAGCUAAUAAUAUAUAAUUAUUGAAAUAAAUAUUAUAGAAUAAAAGUUUGAAUCAAAUUGCAUGUAAAAUAUUUUAAACACAAAUUCAUUUAGGGGUUUACAAAAUAUGUGAUAAUUUAAAUAAUAUAUAAUAUGAAAGGAUAAUAAAAUACAUGAUGAGACGUAAUACACAAAAUAGAUUUACAAAAUAUAUGCAUUGUAAUAGCCCAAAAUUGGGUCUAGUUGGAACAGAGGUUUCGGGACCACAAAAUCUGAGAUAUAAAUAAUUAUUUUAUGAUUAUUUUGAGGUCUAUGAUAUGAUUGCAUGAUUGUGUGAAAAUUUCGUGAAGAAAUUCUAUGCAUAAAGUGCUUAAUUCGAAGUUAGGGACUAAAUUGAAUAAGUUACAAAACUUGCAUUCUAGAAGUUUCUAGUAUGAAAUUGAUUUGAAAUAUUAAUUAGGAGGUCUUAAAUAGCAAUUUGACCAAUUUCUAAGUUAUGGACAAAAAUUGGACAUGGAUGGAAUUUUUGGAAAGUUUAGUAGUAAGGGUAUUUUGGUCAUUUAGGGAUAAAACGAAUUAAAAUACAAAAUUAAAAGCCAAUUUUGCUCAUCUUCUUCACCAUGGACGUGUAUACCAAGGGAGACUCCAUGGAUAGGGUUUUCAAGCUUCCAAGCUCAAUUGUAAGUCCGUUCUAACCCCGUUUUUUAAGUUCUUUACGUUUGUGGAGUCCCGGUAACUUGAUUUAGCUUAUGCUAGCAAUAAUUCAACCUAGGGUUCAUAUUUGGAAAAAUACCCAUAGGUAAAAUUUGUGUAUUCUGGUGUUUUAUGAUACAAUAUGAGGUUUUAAAUUAUGUUAGACAACUUGUGCUGCUCGGUUUUAAGUGAAAACGAGCAAAAGGGCUUAAUCGGUAAAAAUACCUAAUAGUCAUAAGUAUAUGUUAGAGUGAGAAUUUGAUGUUGCCAUAGAAGGGAAAAGUGAUCACCAUGUCAUAAAACAUAAGAAUAAGGGAUGAAGUUUAAUUCCCGAGCCUAGGGGCAAAAGUGUAAAUAUGCAAAAUUUUAGGGGCAAAAUUGUAAUUUUUCCAAAGUUUGAGUUAAGGACUGUUUUGAAUAUUACAUUAAUUAAAUAAGUAAAAUAUGAUGUUUUAGAUCCCGGAAAACGAGAUUUGAACCUAGAAUGAGAGAAAAAUCAAAAAUUGGGAAAGUUGGUAAAAUGGCCGUUUUAAUAUCAAGGUAAGUUCAUAUGUAUAAUAAACAUUAAUUUAUGCAUGUUUCAAUGUAAAAUUGACAUAUUUACUAUGAUCUCCGAGGUGUUGAAAGUAUGUAAGUUGGCAUGAUAAUAAUACAACAAUAAUGCUGUAAUUUAUAUUUGAAAGUUAAAUUUAGUGAAUUAAUUGAAUUAUGUUAAAUUAAAUGAUUAUGGUGCCAAGUUUAUGAAUUGAUUUAAAAAUAUAUCUAUGGUACAUGAAGUGCAUUGAAUUAUCAUACAUAAAUGUGAUUUCUAUGAUUAUGAAUAUUAUGGGAAAUUGUAAGUUCAUAUGAUUUUUAAUAAGACAAUGUGUAAUUUAAUGUUAUUGCGUUGAUAUUAAAUGAGAUGUAAGUUUAUAUGUAAGUAAUACAUCACUAUUACUUGUAUUAUGAUAUUUUAUAAAAAUAUUGGAAAUAUGUUUGUGGAUAAUUACUUGAUUGGUGAAAUUGUUGGAAAAGAGAGAGAAAUCCCGGUUGAACCUUCGGAAAGAUUGGAUGAUACAGAUGGUAUGUAGCUAGGUCACAUGUAUAGUGCUGAGUGCACAUUAUGUGUAAAAGAGAGCUACAAGACAUUAUGAUGUAGCUAGGUCGCAUGGGUGAUACUAUGUGUACACCAUGUAGACAAGAGAGCUACGGGAUAUAUGUAUCUAGGUCGCAUGCGUGGUUCCAAGUGAAGGACACCAUGUAGACAAGAGAGCUACGAGAUAAACUGGCUAGGUCACAUGGGUGGUACUAAGUGUUCACCAUGUGUACAAGAGAGCCGAACUAUAUGAUGGGUGGAGCUAUGUGCUGAAACCACCAAGUAUAGAGGAUUGAUCCGAAGUGUUCAACGGGAGACUCUCUAUGUAUUGCUUUGUGAGUUUUGUGAUGAAUAUGUGCAGGAACUUGGUUAUGUGAAUGAUGUGUUCAUUAAGUGACCAGGAUGUGGUAAGGUUAUAAACAAGUAAGUUAUACAUGAGGAUGAUUUUAUGGUGACCUUGUGAUCAUGGGCCUAUACUUGUGAUGUAUGAAAUGUGGUGAAAAUGAUUUGUGAUAUGUAUGUUAAAAUGAGGUUAAUACAAAGAAAGUGUGAAAGAGUGAAUUAGCAAUAAAACUGUUUUGGACAGUAGCAGUGACGUGAUUUUGAAAAAUCACCAAAAAUAGUAUAAAUUGAAUUAGAGACUGAAUGAGAUAUCAAAUUAAAUCUUAAUGAGUUUAUUUUCAUAUAAAAGAAACAUAGAAAGCAAAGGAGUUCUAUAUUUUGAGAUAUUUAUGUUUUCGUGAGACUGAUUCAGAAUGAUUACGUGAUCCCCUGUUCUGACUUUGGAAAAUCACAAAAAUUUGGAGAAAAAUAAUUAGAGGCUCAAAAUUAUAUUUUUAAAAUCCAUAAUGAGUCUAUUUUCAAGAUAAAUCAACAAGAACAUUAUCCGAGUUCUGUACUGUGAGAUAAUUAUUUUUUAGUGAAGAGAGGUCAGAACUGUCAGAAAGUGAAACAGGGGAAAUUUUAAUGAAUAAACUGUACUAAUUAGCUAAACCAAAAAUUAUGAAAAUUUUAUGGUGGAACGAUAUGUGAGUCUAGUUUCAGGGGAAAUUUACGGAUCUUAAUUUGGAGCUCUGUAGCUCGAAUUAUAAAUAAUUAAGUGACUAUGACUCGUGUGGACAGUUUGAUGUGAACAUUUAUUAGUAAAUUGUGAAAUCGUACUUACAAGAAUGCUAUAUACAUUAAGGAUGUGGAAUGGAGAGGAGGAGGAGGAAAAUAAAUAUAUGUGGAAUACAUGGAAACUAUGGUAUAUGAAAUAUUGAUAUAAUGAAAUAAAUUAUAUGUGUUUAUAAGAAAACAAAAAGAUAAUGUUAUGUAUCAUGACAUGUAUAUAUAUAUGACUAGUCUCAAUGUAAUGCUUGUUGGGUAUGGAAUUGAAUUGAAAUGUUUCAAGCAAACAUGUUAUUCUGCGCAUCUGAAUCGUGGUAUUUUAUAAAGAUAUGAUCUAGCUUUAAAUAUGAAUGCUUGAUGAUUAAGCUGAAGAUAUUUGGUAAGAUGAUAAUCUUGGUAUAAAUGUAUAAGUGGUACUAUAAUAAACAAGGUAAAACGAGUAUGAGAGACACAUGUAUGAUGACAUACAAAUGCUAUGUUUGUGGUUUAAUUGAGGAUUUAUAAUCAUUAAAUGAAUACCAUGUUAUAUGCUUUUGAUUUUGUAUAAGUGUGUAAGAGAUCAAGGUUGACCAAAGGUUGGAAAAUAGCCUAGGUAUAUUCCACACAGGCAGAGACACGACCAUGUGUCUCAGCCGUGUAUGGAACACGACUUUGGUACACGGGCGUGUGGAGCCUUAAAGCAUGAAAUUUCCAAGAUUUUUGUAAGUUCUCGGUUUAGUCCCAAACCCUUUCUAAAGUAUGUUUUAGGCUCCGUAGACUCAAAUAAGGGACUAUGUGUAAGAGAAUGAACGCUUUGAAAUAUGAAUAAAAUUUUAUGGCUCGUAUUUUAGUUUAAUGUUUGUAUGUUUGUCUGGUAACGUCUCGUACCUUAGCCCGGCCUCGGAUACGAGUAAGGGGUGUUACAUGCAUAAAUAACUUUGAAAAUAAUCUUUUGUAAAAAACAUAGAAAUACAUACGAGAUUAAGUUAAUUUUAUAAUAAACUAUAUAAUGGAUUUAAGAACAUGCUUACAUAUAUAUAUAUCAAGAAAACUAUAUGUAUAAAAUACAUAGAUUUAAUAAUAAUAUAUAUAUCAAAUAUAGAUAUCAAUAAAUAUAUGUACUUACGUAGUAAUAACCUAAAAAAUAUAUUAUGUAGGAUCAUGUAAUAAUAUAUAAAAAUAAAUUUAAAAGGAAUUAUAUAUGUAAAAUAAUAUUAAAUUAAUAAAAUGCAUAAAAAGAAUUAACCUUAUUAUAAGGUGUAUAUAUAUGUGUAUAUAAAAGAACAUUUUAAACAAACAAAUUUAAAAGAAAAUAAAUAAAUAGAUAUAUAUAGUUACAUGUAUUGAUAUAUUUACAUAUAUAAAUGAAAGUAUGAAUAACAAACUAAAACCAUGCAAAACUUAAUAAAAUACUCCAAGAUAAUAUAUUAAAUGGUGAAUAAUAAGUAAAUUUUCAAAAAUAAAAGGGUUUCAAAGAAUAAAAACAUGCUGAAAGUAAUGAAUAAAUAAAAGAAACUCAAUUGAAGCAAAAAUAAAACUAAAAAGAUAAUUAAUAAAUACAAUAAAUUACUGAAAUUAGAGGAAGGACUAAAGCCUAACGCACGCGGAUGCAUAGGGACUAAAAUUGGCAAUAUGCCAGAUCCCAAAGUGCUGCGUUUAAGUGUGGAUCGAAUUGACUUCGCUUGUAAAUUAAAGGAAUAAAUUUAAAACAAAGGAAAAGGCUGAUAGAACUCAAUCGCAACACAACGCCGAACAAAAGGACUUAAGGUACAAAUAUCCCUCUCUGACCUAACACGCGGGUCUUAACCAGGCGUGGGUCGGGUCAUUGGGUGAAAGCCACCACACGACGUCGUAUCAAGACCAUUAAAAUUGGUCAAAACGGCACCGUUCCCAGUCUCUUAUAUGGACUAAGCCAACCGAAUCAACAAGCACUCAUUCUGCUUAUUUUCAAAUCCCUAAUCCCCUCAGCUAAAUGCCGAUUCAUCUUCACCAUGUGGGACUCUUCGAGCCUGAAGGAAUCUUAGCCCGAAAUCCCUCAUCAACUCCGAUUUCAACGAAGAAGGGAGAAGAAAUCCAUGGCUUGCUCGCACGGUAAGGUCGUUUCCUCUUCACUUUAUUUGCUUUCGAAAUAAAAAAAAUAAAAAAAAUAACACAAAACAAGAGAAUAAUCACAAAAAGAAAGCCCGGAGAUUUAGAUCGGAAAAUCAUCUUCAGAUAUUGGUUGUCUUUUUGUAUUGCCUAUUGUGCAUCCAAAAAAAUACAAUGAUCGAAUGCUUUUGCUUUAUAGCUGAAAAUGAUAGAAAAAAAAUAAAUAAAAAUACAAAAUUCUUUCUUUGCUUUCACAUUGGGUAUAUGCUGCUGUUGCUUGUUUAUUUUUUUUUGCAGGUACGGGUGCAAGGCGCUCGGGUACGGGACUGUGUUGGCGCGGGCGUGGCUGCUGGACGGUACGGAGCGCACGACGCUGGCAUCGUACGGAGGCUUGGUUGCGGCGCAACGUAGACCUUAGGGUUUCUGCCAGUUUUAGAAAUUUGGGCCUUUUGGGCCGAUGUAAUUUUGGGGUUUAAUUUGGGGUUAUUUGGGCUUUAAGGUCUUGAAUUAAUUUUGGGCUCUGGACUGUAAAAGGACAUUUAAUUAAUUAUUGGUUUUUUUGUUUCUUUAUUUUGUAUUUUGGUUCUGGCGUGGGCCCGGGCAAAUUGGCCCAUUUACAGUACUAUUUAUAGAAUAGUCCUUCAACAUUUUUAAGCUCACGAGUGGAAUAUUCCUUCAAAUAAUAUCAAUGUACCUAUAAAUAGUGCAAUAAAUUCACGUCUUAAAUAUAAGACCUGCAUCCAGUAGAUAAUAUUUACCUAUUAAGAAAAAUCACUUAAUAUAAAUUCUGCAAAAUAAACUUAAAUCAUUUAUUUGAAAUUAAUCUUAUCUUUAGGAAUGAUAAGCUUAUCUUCCUUAGUUAAAAGCUUUUUAAUGACUUUUGAAUAUGACGAUAUUCCCUCCCAUCUGGCUAAAAUAUAUGUAAACUUAAUGUCAAAUUUAUCUUCGCUUUUAGCUUUAGCUUUAUUCACGAG
rnacentral:lncRNA from 1 species